GGGUUGUGAGGUUAAGCGACUAAGCGUACACGGUGGAUGCCCUGGCAGUCAGAGGCGAUGAAGGACGUGCUAAUCUGCGAUAAGCGUCGGUAAGGUGAUAUGAACCGUUAUAACCGGCGAUUUCCGAAUGGGGAAACCCAGUGUGAUUCGUCACACUAUCAUUAACUGAAUCCAUAGGUUAAUGAGGCGAACCGGGGGAACUGAAACAUCUAAGUACCCCGAGGAAAAGAAAUCAACCGAGAUUCCCCCAGUAGCGGCGAGCGAACGGGGAGGAGCCCAGAGCCUGAAUCAGUGUGUGUGUUAGUGGAAGCGUCUGGAAAGGCGCGCGAUACAGGGUGACAGCCCCGUACACAAAAAUGCACAUGCUGUGAGCUCGAUGAGUAGGGCGGGACACGUGGUAUCCUGUCUGAAUAUGGGGGGACCAUCCUCCAAGGCUAAAUACUCCUGACUGACCGAUAGUGAACCAGUACCGUGAGGGAAAGGCGAAAAGAACCCCGGCGAGGGGAGUGAAAAAGAACCUGAAACCGUGUACGUACAAGCAGUGGGAGCACGCUUCGGCGUGUGACUGCGUACCUUUUGUAUAAUGGGUCAGCGACUUAUAUUCUGUAGCAAGGUUAACCGAAUAGGGGAGCCGAAGGGAAACCGAGUCUUAACUGGGCGUUAAGUUGCAGGGUAUAGACCCGAAACCCGGUGAUCUAGCCAUGGGCAGGUUGAAGGUUGGGUAACACUAACUGGAGGACCGAACCGACUAAUGUUGAAAAAUUAGCGGAUGACUUGUGGCUGGGGGUGAAAGGCCAAUCAAACCGGGAGAUAGCUGGUUCUCCCCGAAAGCUAUUUAGGUAGCGCCUCGUGAAUUCAUCUCCGGGGGUAGAGCACUGUUUCGGCAAGGGGGUCAUCCCGACUUACCAACCCGAUGCAAACUGCGAAUACCGGAGAAUGUUAUCACGGGAGACACACGGCGGGUGCUAACGUCCGUCGUGAAGAGGGAAACAACCCAGACCGCCAGCUAAGGUCCCAAAGUCAUGGUUAAGUGGGAAACGAUGUGGGAAGGCCCAGACAGCCAGGAUGUUGGCUUAGAAGCAGCCAUCAUUUAAAGAAAGCGUAAUAGCUCACUGGUCGAGUCGGCCUGCGCGGAAGAUGUAACGGGGCUAAACCAUGCACCGAAGCUGCGGCAGCGACACUAUGUGUUGUUGGGUAGGGGAGCGUUCUGUAAGCCUGUGAAGGUGUACUGUGAGGUAUGCUGGAGGUAUCAGAAGUGCGAAUGCUGACAUAAGUAACGAUAAAGCGGGUGAAAAGCCCGCUCGCCGGAAGACCAAGGGUUCCUGUCCAACGUUAAUCGGGGCAGGGUGAGUCGACCCCUAAGGCGAGGCCGAAAGGCGUAGUCGAUGGGAAACAGGUUAAUAUUCCUGUACUUGGUGUUACUGCGAAGGGGGGACGGAGAAGGCUAUGUUGGCCGGGCGACGGUUGUCCCGGUUUAAGCGUGUAGGCUGGUUUUCCAGGCAAAUCCGGAAAAUCAAGGCUGAGGCGUGAUGACGAGGCACUACGGUGCUGAAGCAACAAAUGCCCUGCUUCCAGGAAAAGCCUCUAAGCAUCAGGUAACAUCAAAUCGUACCCCAAACCGACACAGGUGGUCAGGUAGAGAAUACCAAGGCGCUUGAGAGAACUCGGGUGAAGGAACUAGGCAAAAUGGUGCCGUAACUUCGGGAGAAGGCACGCUGAUAUGUAGGUGAAGCGACUUGCUCGUGGAGCUGAAAUCAGUCGAAGAUACCAGCUGGCUGCAACUGUUUAUUAAAAACACAGCACUGUGCAAACACGAAAGUGGACGUAUACGGUGUGACGCCUGCCCGGUGCCGGAAGGUUAAUUGAUGGGGUUAGCG
rnacentral:rRNA from 1 species